UGAAGUUAAAAGCAAACCACUUGUGAGGAUGGGACGCAAAGCUACAGAUCUCCUGAGGGAGAUGGCUGGGUUGCCGAG
rfam:Desulfobacca sp. 4484_104 ex4484_104_scaffold_5277, whole genome shotgun sequence.